AUGCAAUCUGUGUUGUGCAGAGGUCACUGUGAACCAGACAACUGCGAGCAGAUGGUGUUGGGUUUUAAUUGGUGUACUUGUUUCGCUCAGGGUAAAACCGGGCCAGCGGGGCCAGAGGGCAUGAGAGGACCACGAGGGGAACCCGUGAGGAGGCUUUUGAUGAACCAAUUAAAUUGCAAAACAAAACAGCACCUGUGUGAUUAUUCGGCUGGGUCACUGUAUUUUUUUUUUUUCUUUAGGGUCAGCCUGGAGAACCUGGACAAACAGGCAAGCCUGGAUCUCAAGGAAAUCCUGGUCAGCUAGGACACAAAGGUGAAACAGGGAGUCCAGGGUUACCCGGCUUCCCAGGUCCAAAAGGGCCAUCGGUGAGUGGAGAUGUUGCUUUGGGACUUAUGGGAAUCUCAGUUUAAUUAGUAAAGUUAAGCUUUUAUACUUGUACAAACAAGCCUUGUAAAUCUAUAGAAGCUGAAAGCACUCGGUCCCAAGUGGAUAUGAUCUUCCUGUCUAUAUUUACACUUGUGUUUUUCCCUCAGGGUCCAUCUGGUCCAAUUGGCCCAGAAGGCAAACAAGUGAGUGAUGAUUCAUUAAUAUUCUAUCAACACGUUUUCAUAUUUUUUUCAGCUUGCUAUUUAUUUUUGUUUUUAUUUUUAGGGCAUGUCAGGAACACCAGGAGACAGAGGACAGAAGGGAGAAAAGGUAUCUGUUCAUCCACAUGUGUGCCUCUCAAAUCAAAUCAAAACUUACCGUGUUGCUCGUUUUUGUAGGGUGAUAAUGGAAUAAAAGGAGACAAAGGACCCGUUGGUGAUCCGGGUGUUCCGGGUAACCCUGGGCCUCCCGGCAGGAAGGGUCACACAGGGAUGAUGGGCAUGUCGGGUCCCCCAGGGGAAGUGGGUCCCUCUGGGCCCCCUGGUUCUCCAGGACAGCCGGGUCUCCCAGGUCUCAGAGUGAGUCUGCUUUAGUAGUUUUAAUAGAAAGUGUGUGAUGCUAAUGAUAUUAAAAAAAAAGAGCAUGAGGUCAUUACGCCGUGUUUUAAGGGAGAGACGCCAUCACUGGAACAAAUGCGGCGGCUCAUUCAAGAGGAACUCUCCAAACAGUUAGACGGUGAGAUUCAUUUGGCAAAGAUGUUUUCGACUUACUUUGCUGUGUCUUUUUACGUUUCCUGAACGUCCCGUUGAUUUUCACAGCAAAGUUAGCUUACCUCAUGGCUCAAAUGCAGCCUGCGCAUAUCAAGAGCUCAGUUGGGCGCCCUGGUCCACCUGGUCCGGCAGGUAAAGAUGGACCUCCUGGCCAACAAGGACCACCGGGAGAGCCUGGAAUACCUGGACAGAAUGGAGCAGAAGGACCCAGAGGUCCAGUUGGUCCUAAAGGUACCGCAAAACUCAUU
rnacentral:lncRNA from 1 species